AGAACGAACGCUGGCGGCAUGCCUAAUACAUGCAAGUCGAACGAACACUUCGGUGUUAGUGGCGCACGGGUGCGUAACGCGUGGGAAUCUGCCCUUGGGUUCGGAAUAACAGUUGGAAACGACUGCUAAUACCGGAUGAUGACGAAAGUCCAAAGAUUUAUCGCCCAGGGAUGAGCCCGCGUAGGAUUAGCUAGUUGGUGAGGUAAAGGCUCACCAAGGCGACGAUCCUUAGCUGGUCUGAGAGGAUGAUCAGCCACACUGGGACUGAGACACGGCCCAGACUCCUACGGGAGGCAGCAGUAGGGAAUAUUGGACAAUGGGCGCAAGCCUGAUCCAGCAAUGCCGCGUGAGUGAUGAAGGCCUUAGGGUUGUAAAGCUCUUUUACCCGAGAUGAUAAUGACAGUAUCGGGAAGAAGUAAGCCCCGCUAACUCCGUGCCAGCACGCCGAC
rnacentral:rRNA from 1 species